rnacentral:rRNA from 1 species
UACGUAGGGAGCAAGCGUUGUCCGGAAUCAUUGGGCGUAAAGCGCGCGUAGGUGGCCACAUAAGUCCGUUGUGAAAGUCAAAGGCUCAACCUUUGAAAGCCGAUGGAUACUGUGUGGCUAGAGUACGGAAGAGGCGAGUGGAAUUCCUGGUGUAGCGGUGGAAUGCGCAGAUAUCAGGAGGAACACCAAUGGCGAAGGCAGCUCGCUGGGACGUGACUGACGCUGAGACGCGAAAGCGUGGGGAGCGAACAGG